rnacentral:rRNA from 1 species
UACGUAGGGUGCAAGCGUUGUCCGGAAUCAUUGGGCGUAAAGCGCGCGUAGGUGGCUUCGUAAGUCCGUUGUGAAAGUCAAAGGCUCAACCUUUGAAAGCCGAUGGAUACUGCGGAGCUAGAGUACGGAAGAGGCGAGUGGAAUUCCUGGUGUAGCGGUGGAAUGCGCAGAUAUCAGGAGGAACACCGAUGGCGAAGGCAGGUCUCUGGGCCGAUACUGACGCUGAGGAGCGAAAGCGUGGGGAGCGAACAGG